UGGUUCUGGCAUCGAUGAAGAACGCAGCGAAAUGCGAUAAGUAAUGCGAAUUGCAGAAUCCGUGAGUCAUCGAAUCUUUGAACGCAUAUUGCGCCCUCUGGUAUUCCGGAGGGCAUGCCUGUUCGAGCGUCAUUAUCACCCCUCAAGCCCGGCUUGUUGUUGGACGCGGCGGCCCCCCUCCCGGGGCGCGCUCUUCCCAAAGAUAAUGACGGCGUCUGUGAGGACUCCAGUACACUGAGCUUUUGGGCACGUACUCGGCUAGAAGUCCAGACCCGGUCGACGUCGUCCCCCUCGCGGGGACGACACCCCCCCUUUUUAUCAAGGUUGACCUCGGAUCAGGUAGGAAUACCCGCUGA
rnacentral:misc_RNA from 1 species